rnacentral:rRNA from 12 species
AUCGACGGCGGUGUUUGGCACCUCGAUGUCGGCUCAUCUCAUCCUGGGGCUGGAGCAGGUCCCAAGGGUACGGCUGUUCGCCGUUUAAAGAGGUACGUGAGCUGGGUUUAGAACGUCGUGAGACAGUUCGGUCCCUAUCUGCCGUGGGUGUAGGAUACUUGAGAGGAGUUGCCCCUAGUACGAGAGGACCGGGGUGAACGAUCCACUGGUGGACCUGUUAUCGUGCCAACGGUAGUGCAGGGUAGCUAUGAUCGGAAAGGAUAACCGCUGAAGGCAUCUAAG